rnacentral:rRNA from 1 species
AGUGAACGCUGGCGGUAGGCCUAACACAUGCAAGUCGAACGGCAGCACAGUAAGAGCUUGCUCUUACGGGUGGCGAGUGGCGGACGGGUGAGGAAUACAUCGGAAUCUACUUUUUCGUGGGGGAUAACGUAGGGAAACUUACGCUAAUACCGCAUACGACCUACGGGUGAAAGCAGGGGAUCUUCGGACCUUGCGCGAUUGAAUGAGCCGAUGUCGGAUUAGCUAGUUGGCGGGGUAAAGGCCCACCAAGGCUACGAUCCGUAGCUGGUCUGAGAGGAUGAUCAGCCACACUGGAACUGAGACACGGUCCAGACUCCUACGGGAGGCAGCAGUGGGGAAUAUUGGACAAAGGGCGCAAGCCUGAUCCAGCCAUACCGCGUGGGUGAAGAAGGCCUUCGGGUUGUAAAGCCCUUUUGUUGGGAAAGAAAAGCAGCAGGUUAAUACCCCGCUGUUCUGACGGUACCCAAAGAAUAAGCACCGGCUAACUUCGUG